UCCCAUCUCAGACUAUAAAAUCAUAAGUAAGGGGAUGAAAUGCUGCAAUUCCAAUGUUACAAUCAUUGACGUGUUAAUAACACCUUGGGCUCUUGUUUUUUUUUAAUGGCCAACUUUCGGAAGAGAAUUCUCCUUGUAGGGCUACUUAUAGGCUGGAUUAAAAAUCAAAAUAUGGCUAAUAUUAAAAGACUCAUGGAAGGCCGAAUAGAGCGAAGGCUGUAAAGGGUUGUUUUUUUUUUUUUUUUUUUUUUUU
rnacentral:misc_RNA from 1 species